rnacentral:rRNA from 1 species
UACGUAGGUGACAAGCGUUGUCCGGAUUUACUGGGCGUAAAGAGCGCGCAGGCGGUCGAUCAAGUCGAGUGUGAAAGCCCCCGGCUCAACUGGGGAGGGUCAUUCGAUACUGAUCGACUCGAAGGCAGGAGAGGGUAGUGGAAUUCCCGGUGUAGUGGUGAAAUGCGUAGAUAUCGGGAGGAACACCAGUGGCGAAGGCGACACUCUGGGCCGGUACUGACGCUGAGGAGCGAAAGCGUGGGGAGCAAACAGG